rnacentral:misc_RNA from 1 species
AAAGUCGUAACAAGGUCUCCGUAGGUGAACCUGCGGAGGGAUCAUUCACAUGAUUUAUCUUUUUAAACAAACCGUGAACUUUAUAACAAAACUAUUCGUGUGAUUAUUUUUUUAAAUUUUCACACUGUCAUUCGAUCUGAACAUAAAGAUAGUUGGCUUGUUUUUUUAUUAAAACUUUCUCAGCUUGAUUCAUUGUGAAACUAAACACUUCAUAAUAAUCACCAAUAAACAUAGAAACAACUCUAUGCCCUGGAUAUCUUGGUUCUC